rnacentral:misc_RNA from 1 species
UCGUCUAUACUAUGAGGAUGUAAACAAACUCCAGCUGACUGUUUGACACGACAGCGGGUGGUUGCUCUACGCUACACUCCCAUAUUUAUUACUCUAGUUUCUGCUUCAUACAGCGCCAAGAGACUUGACCCAAUAGUAUAAUCAUCACAAGAUAAACGUAGAAUUAAGUGAAUUGGUUGAAAGUUUCAAUGAUAAGAUGAUUGUAUAUGCAUGCUUAGCGCGGUUAGCAGAUGGAACUCCUCUCUCUGCAACUACAGAUUUUGCCAGUGAUGCUGACCAACGUGUGAGAGAAGGGAAGAGAUGUGUCAAAUUACUGAGCAAACAGCUGGCCAAGUUUGGCAAACGUGUGUGUUUGCAGGCUGAGGAGAUCACCAUCCAGUGUGUAGUGGAUGAUUGCACCGCUUAUAUGGUUGUGUGUGAACCCAAUUAUCCACACAUUCUUGCCUUCAGCUUCCUUGAUGAGCUGAUGAAGGAGUUUAAUAUCCUCUACACUGCCUCUGUUGUUAAGUCUGUAAGAAGACCCUAUGCAUUUAUUGAAUUUGACACUUUUCUUCAAAAGACAAGGCAGAAAUAUAGCAGUACUCGAGCCCUCGCUUCCAGGUUAAACUUGGCAGAAAUGACAACAGACCUUAACCUUCACCCACCAUCUUAUGUCAAAAUGCAACAAUUGGAGCCACCACCACCACCACCGCCACCGCUACUUGCAGCACCUAAUCUGCCUGCCAGCUCUACUUCACAUACUUCAAAAGCUGUCAGUAUAUCAAAUGGUGUCAUUGCAAAUGGGUUCAUCAACAAGGAUGUUUCAAUGGUGGGCGUUGCAUUAAAGCUGAAGCCAGUUCCAUGGUAUGGUUGGAUGGGCAUUGUCCUUUCUACACUGUGCAUUUUUGUCGACAUAUACAGAGGAGCAGUAGCCAUCAGUAUGUCUAGUCUAGAGGAGCUUGACGGUCCCUCACCUUGGCAUGGCAUAUUUUUUUUGACCGAGAUGAUCCUGCAAAUGACGCAGGUCUACAUGUUACGGAAAUACAACAAGUUUAGAAAACUAUGGACUCUAGGAUGUGCUGUGUUUGUUCUAAUUCUCAAUGGCUCCCUUCUUGAUGUACGGGAAGGGUGGAUAUGUCUCAUUUAUAUCACAGUCUCUUUCUCACUCAUGCUCGCCACUUUCCGCAGGCCUUUCGAAAGAAAGUUACCUAGAUUUCACGUAUAAUUUUGUAGUUGUUUUAGAAAACAAAGUAUUCUUAAUUGAUAAAAUGUUUAGGACCUAUUUUUGUGAGUAAGAUGAUUUUCCUUAAGGGAAGGGAAAUUUCAGCAUAAGCUGAAAUUUUCAAGCCAGACUCAUUUUCAGAGGUACAGUACAUAUUGUUUCUGUAAAAUAUAUUGGAAAUUUUAUUUUAUUCAUAAAGUGUAACAAAUAAAUUGAUAUGAAGGCCUGUAACUCAGAUGAAUGAGAAACACAUUAAAAAACUGAUAGCUACAGUCAAGAAUAUUGGAUGAUUACAUGACGAGUGAUUGGAUGGUUUAACACAGAAAAUGCUGAAUGUAGAAUUGCUUAUUAUUACAGUAUUGCUGAAUUGGGGUAAUUUAUGGCUUUAAAAUUUUGUAUGCAAGUGUGUGUAGUUUAUGCUAAGUAACAAAAAUAUUUUGAAAUAUUGAAGAUUAUCAAAUUAUUGUACCAAGAACGAAGAGAGGAGAGUAAAGCCAAGGAAGCUAUCAUGGAGAGGAUCGUGUUGAUAUUAAGCACACAGACCAGCCAGUGGAGUGGAGGGUGUAGACCAGCCAGUGGAGUGGUGUACCAACCAGUGGUGCUGGGAGUGUAACCAAUAGAGGCCAGCCAGUGGUGUUGGGGGCAUAGACCAGCCAGUGGUGUUGGUGAUAUAACCACAGAGCAGAGUCAGGUGUGGGAGAAAGGACAUGUCUGCUGCAUCCUGCACAGUGCUGGCACAGUCAAUCACCAAUGCCAUCUUUUGUGCUUCCUCAUUUCUAAGUGAUGUUGCGGUUCAUGUGUUUAAUGAGGUCAAGAAUCUUGCUGAUAACUGAGGAUGGGCCACACAUAUCUGCCAUUUGCCAAAUCCCCAAGCCAAGGAUGACUUUGGUGCACACGCCACCUUGACCCCAAUGACACAGGUUGGGAGACCUCUGAAUGUAAAGUGUACAUUUUAGCUUGUAAGACAUGUUCGCCAUUCCUCAUAACCUGGUCUGGUCACAUGAAAGUAACCUUUGUGUAAUCUUUAUCAAUGCAUAAGUUUGGGUGUUAGCAGCAAUUACAGAAUUAUUCUUUGAAAAUAAAUUUUUCGAAAAUCUAAAUUUC